UACGUAGGGUGCAAGCGUUAUCCGGAAUUAUUGGGCGUAAAGAGCUCGUAGGCGGUUUGUCGCGUCUGCCGUGAAAACUGGAGGCUCAACCUCCAGCCUGCGGUGGGUACGGGCAAACUAGAGUGCGGUAGGGGAGAUUGGAAUUCCUGGUGUAGCGGUGAAAUGCGCAGAGAUCGGGAGGAACACCCGUAGCGAAGGCGGCGCUCUGGGCCGGUACUGACGCUGAGGAGCGAAAGCGUGGGGAGCAAACAGG
rnacentral:rRNA from 1 species